GUGCAGCAGUCGCGAAACCCCGCAAUACACGAAAGUGUGACGGGCCAUCCCGAGUGCCGUCCGCUGAGGACGGCUUUUCCCCAGUGUACAUAGCUGGGGGAAUAAGGAGAGGGCAAGCCUGGUGUCAGCCGCCGCGGUAAUACCAGCUCUCCGAGUGGUGGGGACGCUUAUUGGGCCUAAAGCAUCCGUAGCCGGCUGGGCAAGUCCUCCGUUAAAUCCAACGAUUCAAUCGUUGGGCUGCGGGGGAUACUGUCCAGCUUGGGGGCGGGAGAGGCCGACGGUAUUCCCGGGGUAGGGGUGAAAUCCUAUAAUCCCGGGAGGACCACCAGUGGCGAAGGCUGUCGGCUAGAACGCGCCCGACGGUGAGGGAUGAAAGCUGGGGGAGCGAACCGGAUUAGAUA
rnacentral:rRNA from 1 species